GACGAACGCUGGCGGCGUGCUUAACACAUGCAAGUCGAACGCUGAAGCUCAGCUUGCUGGGUGGAUGAGUGGCGAACGGGUGAGUAACACGUGAGUAACCUGCCCUCUUCUUUGGGAUAACGCCCGGAAACGGGUGCUAAUACUGGAUAUUCACUGAUUCUCGCAUGGGGGUUGGGGGAAAGGUUGUUUCUGGUGGGGUAUGGGCUCGCGGCCUAUCAGCUUGUUGGUGGGGGGAUGGCCUACCAAGGCGUUGACGGGUAGCCGGCCUGAGAGGGUGACCGUUGACAUUGGGAAUGGGACACGGCCCAGACUCCUACGGGAGGCAGCAGUGGGGAACAUUGCACAAUGGGCGAAAGCCUGAUGCAGCGACGCCGCGUGAGGGAUGGAGGCCUUCGGGUUGUAAACCUCUUUCGCUCAUGGUCAAGCCGCAGCUUUGGGUUGUGGUGAGGGUAGUGGGUAAAGAAGCGCCGGCUAACUACGUG
rnacentral:rRNA from 1 species